GCUGUGACGUGGGUGGUUCGCCGCUUGCGAUGCUGCGAGAAGUCCAUUGAACCUUAUCAUUUAGAGGAAGGAGAAGUCGUAACAAGGUUUCCGUAGGUGAACCUGCGGAAGGAUCAUUGUCGAGACCCAAAAGAGAUCGUGCGAUUUGACAACUUGUGAAUUAUUUUGGCAGCUCUCUUCUGUUGCUGCGCGCACCCAUCCAUCUGUUGCAUGAACUACCUUACGGUGACAUGUUAUAGGUGGAGGGGAGAUCAGCUGGGCACAGCCUUGUGCCAAGGUAAAUAUGAAACAUGAUGAGCAUCAAUCACAUCCUCAAAGCGUGCCGCGUUUUACGGGAUUUUUUUGUUGCUCCUCGAGAAAAAUGUAGGACUCUCGGCAAUGGAUAUCUUGGCUCUCGCAUCGAUGAAGANCGCAGCGAAAUGCGAUACGUGGUGCGAAUUGCAGAAUCCCGUGAACCAUCGAGUUUUUGAACGCAAGUUGCGCCCGAGGCCAGCUGGCCAAGGGCACGUCCGCCUGGGCGUCAAACGUUGAUUCGCUCCCUUUGACAUCACACAUUUCAUCGCUAUGCGAUGGUGUUGUCUCGGAUGCGGAGAAUGGCCCGUCAUGCGUGAUGUGUGGCUGGUUAAAGUGUGGGAUGAUUUUCUCUAGGCACCGAUGAUUAAUGGGUGGGUUACAAUGCAUCAAUUGUCCUCAUCAUCGUUAGGUUGCUUUGAGAAGGCAGUACAAAUCUCAAACUAGACCCAACUCAAGUGCUAGAAGCAAAAYAAUUGAAACGCGACCCCAGGAUGGGCGGGGUGACCCGCUGAGUUUAAG
rnacentral:sRNA from 1 species